UACGGAGGGUGCGAGCGUUGUUCGGAAUCACUGGGCGUAAAGCGCGUGUAGGCGGCCUUCUAAGUCUGGUGUGAAAGCCCGGGGCUCACCCCCGGAAGGGCACUGGAAACUGGGAGGCUUGAGUACCGGAGAGGAGGGUGGAAUUCCUGGUGUAGCGGUGAAAUGCGUAGAUAUCAGGAGGAACACCGGUGGCGAAGGCGGCCCUCUGGACGGAUACUGACGCUGAGACGCGAAAGCGUGGGGAUCAAACAGG
rnacentral:rRNA from 1 species